rnacentral:lncRNA from 1 species
UGCCCCUCAUGGCUGUGCUUGUCUGCUGCGUGAAGCCUCGUCCCAGGAUUUUCUGAGCUUGAUGGAUUUACAGUGGUUGGUCGUCCCACAGCUGGUGGA